GCCUGGGUGGCUCAGUCAGUUGGGCGUCUGACUUCAGCUCAGGUCAUGGUCUUGCAGUUCGUGAGUUCAAGCCCCACAUCGGGUU
rnacentral:tRNA from 1 species